rnacentral:rRNA from 1 species
UACAGAGGUCCCAAGCGUUGUUCGGAUUUACUGGGCGUAAAGGGUGCGUAGGCGGUCGGGUAAGUUCGAUGUGAAAUCUCCAGGCUCAACCUGGAAACUGCAUUGAAUACUAUCCGGCUGGAGGGUUGGAGGGGAGACUGGAAUUCUCGGUGUAGCAGUGAAAUGCGUAGAUAUCGAGAGGAACACCAGUGGCGAAGGCGAGUCUCUGGACAACUCCUGACGCUGAGGCACGAAAGCCAGGGGAGCAAACAGG